rnacentral:lncRNA from 1 species
AUGCCAUCAAAUGGCCAUCAUCAACUCAGUGCCUGGAACAAACCUCUGCAUUCAACAAGAAACGAAAUGAGAACGAGCAAGCAAGUUAACGCUGGAGAGAGGAUGGGACAAUGCAAGACCGAAGUUGUGACUUCGGGGAGAGGACACAGGAUGUGGUCUGAAAUCUUUCACGGUGGCCUCGCAGACAUCUCUGCGUUUGUUAAGAGAUAAACGGUCUCCCGAAAAGUUGUUGAAAGGUACCAGCAAGUGGAGAAGGGGGGGGGGUGCCUGAGGAUGUCUUUCACAGACCCCAGAUGGAGAAACUGUUCUUUUAUUCCAAAUUCCUAAGAAGCACAGAAGUCGUACAUGUUAAUAAGAGAACACACAGACACACACCCAUAAGUUACAUGCCACGAAACAAAACAAGGAAAUGAGGAGACCUUUGCUGAUCCCUGUUCGCUUACACAAAUCUUACUUUGGGUAAGCAUCUCAAGACCCUUUUCCUGAUUUCAGCUCCUUCUCACGGCUUCCUUUCCCUGGGUACCCAGGUGCACGAAUGGGAUGGUGAUCUUCACAAAACGUCAACAUCAACAACAACAAAACCCCCUCGCUCACACAAAAGCCCACCUUGUAAAUGAAUGGAAUAUUAACGACUACCUAAUAGUUGCACCGUUGGCAGGGCGAAACUGAGCACUAACACGGCUAUUUCUCCAGACUGCCAGUGGAGCCGAAGCAGCUCGAGGAGAAACGCACCUACUGUAUGUGAAAUGCUGGUGCAGAUUUUUUUUCCCUAUCAGUCUAACCUUCUGUGUUGAUGCAUGAAUGCUGGUACCCACUUACAGGGAUGCCAGAUGAUCAGUGCAGAAUGAAGGUCCCAAGAGAGAGGAUCACAUGGUUCUCUCUGCCCUGUGACGUCACUAGCAGAUGGCAUGGGUACCAGCUCUGGCAGUUGGCAUCAAUGUCACUUUUUAGAGAUCAAUGAGAUAGUGCAGAUAUACACAGAUCUAGAGACUCCAGGAGACGAUGCGACACUCAGCCUGAAAAGAUUUGGAAGAUACAAAAUGAAAACUGAUUAUUGAAUGAAAUUAAAACCUAAGGUAAUAUAAAUAAAGAUCUACUUCAAUUGAUGCUGGCUUUGCAUGCAAGUAUUUAAAGAUACAGUGUCACUGUCUUAUAGUAUUUAUAUGCUCUUUGCCAUCUAUAACUUCUUAUCAUAUUUCAUUCUUAUGAUGUAAUUGUCACAUACUUUCACUGCUAUUAUGUAACACUGCAAGUAU